AACGUAGGAGCCUAGCGUUAUCCGAAUUCACUGGGCGUAAAGCGCGUGCAGGCGGUUCGGUAAGUUGGAUGUGAAAUCUCCUGGCUCAACUGGGAGAGGACGUUCAAGACUGUCGGACUAGAGGACGGUAGAGGAAGGUAGAAUUCCCGGUGUAGUGGUGAAAUGCGUAGAUAUCGGGAGGAAUACCAGUGGCGAAGGCGGCCUUCUGGGCCGUUCCUGACGCUCAGACGCGAAAGCUAGGGGAGCAAACGGGG
rnacentral:rRNA from 1 species